rnacentral:rRNA from 1 species
GACGAACGCUGGCGGCGUGCUUAACACAUGCAAGUCGAACGGAAAGGCCCUGCUUUUGUGGGGUGCUCGAGUGGCGAACGGGUGAGUAACACGUGAGUAACCUGCCCUUGACUUUGGGAUAACUUCAGGAAACUGGGGCUAAUACCGGAUAGGAGCUCCUGCUGCAUGGUGGGGGUUGGAAAGUUUCGGCGGUUGGGGAUGGACUCGCGGCUUAUCAGCUUGUUGGUGGGGUAGUGGCUUACCAAGGCUUUGACGGGUAGCCGGCCUGAGAGGGUGACCGGCCACAUUGGGACUGAGAUACGGCCCAGACUCCUACGGGAGGCAGCAGUGGGGAAUAUUGCACAAUGGGCGGAAGCCUGAUGCAGCAACGCCGCGUGCGGGAUGAAGGCCUUCGGGUUGUAAACCGCUUUCGCCUGUGACGAAGCGUGAGUGACGGUAAUGGGUAAAGAAGCACCGGCGAACUACG